ACUCUUUGCUAGCCCAUAUGUUAUUUUCCUACUAAUUAGUGAAACGUUUUCCCCUCAGAUGGGCCAAAAUCUCCAUUAGAUCAGCAAUCCACCUCCAAGAAACCAAAGAAAGAUUUAACCACCAUUUUAUCACUUUGGAAGAGUCACCUUCAUGAUCAAAGUGUAAGACAGUAGUAUCAACUUUGAACACACAAUGCUUCAGACCCCUGAAUUCAGCUUCAAUGGUGACACAUUGGGAGUUGCCCUGCAAAGUCGCCAUGAUUUGGCUAUUAGAGUCCCUUAAUACUCCCCCAAAACAUGCCGUUCUGGAGUUACGCCUAACACUGCCAUCAAAAUUAAGUUUAUACCAUCCAAUUGGCAGGGUUAACCAUACGUAGAUUUAGUUACCAUGCGACUUUUCAUCCUCAAUAAAACACUGAAAUUGCUCUAGAAAUCAGGAAUGGAGGCAUUUCGGAAAGAGUCCAUAGCUGUAGCCCAAUCUGAAAUCAUUCUGAGGAUGAUACAUUUAAGGCAGUCGACAUCCCUCAUUUCAGUAACAAAGAAUAGAAUUCCUUUCCUUCCGAAUAUGCCAAAAGACUGCUGAAGCAGUGUUCUUCCAAAGCACCAUCUCUCUUUUAGUAAAAGCCGAAGAUACCGUCUGACAUAGAAACCGAGAAUUAGUAUUUAGCAUCAUCCAAGUACAACAAAUGUUCGCUCUAACCCAACUCCAAAUUAAAGAAGCAGAGUUGCAGUAUAAGAACAAAUGAUCAUUCGUCUGUGCGUCCUGUUUUACACAUAAUGCAAACAUUAACCAAAUUCCUGCCCCUCUUCUGCAACUGCUCCACAUAAAGGGUUCUAUUCCAACAUGUCAGCCACAGAAAAGCCUUUUACUUUUGGGGAACCUUAAAGAACCAUACUUUAGUAACUCCAGUUAGAGUAUAG
rnacentral:lncRNA from 1 species